rnacentral:rRNA from 1 species
GAUGAACGCUGGCGGCGUGCCUAAUACAUGCAAGUCGAGCGAACAGACGAGGAGCUUGCUCCUCUGACGUUAGCGGCGGACGGGUGAGUAACACGUGGAUAACCUACCUAUAAGACUGGGAUAACUUCGGGAAACCGGAGCUAAUACCGGAUAAUAUAUUGAACCGCAUGGUUCAAUAGUGAAAGACGGUUUUGCUGUCACUUAUAGAUGGUUCCGCGCCGCAUUAGCUAGUUGGUAAGGUAACGGCUUACCAAGGCAACGAUGCGUAGCCGACCUGAGAGGGUAGGCGGCCACAGAGGGACUGAGAUAGGGCCAAGACGGCUACGGGAGGAAGCAGGGGGGAAUAGUGAAAAAUGGUAGGAAGCAAGAGGCAGAAACGUCGAGAGAGUGAGGACGGCCUUCGGGGGGGAAACAGAUGGCGCAGGGGACCAAGCGGGCGGGACGGGAAGGGGUAAAGAAGCAACGGCUAACUAAGUG